AAUAGAUACCCCGGUAGUCCACGCCGUAAACGAUGAGUGCUAAGUGUUAGGGGGGUUUCCGCCCCUUAGUGCUGCAGCUAACGCAUUAAGCACUCCGCCUGGGGAGUACGGCCGCAAGGCUGAAACUCAAAGGAAUUGACGGGGGCCCGCACAAGCGGUGGAGCAUGUGGUUUAAUUCGAAGCAACGCGAAGAACCUUACCAGGUCUUGACAUCCUCUGACAACCCUAGAGAUAGGGCGUUCCCCUUCGGGGGACAGAGUGACAGGUGGUGCAUGGUUGUCGUCAGCUCGUGUCGCGAGAUGUUGGGUUAAGUCCCGCAACGAGCGCAACCCUUGAUCUUAGUUGCCAGCAUUUAGUUGGGCACUCUAAGGUGACUGCCGGUGACAAACCGGAGGAAGGUGGGGAUGACGUCAAAUCAUCAUGCCCCUUAUGACCUGGGCUACACACGUGCUACAAUGGAUGGUACAAAGGGCUGCCAAACCGCGAGGUUGAGCGAAUCCCAUAAAACCAUUCUCAGUUCGGAUUGCAGG
rnacentral:rRNA from 1 species